CGCUGAGGGAAGCUUAUCUGCAAACAUGGCCAGCCCUGGAGGCAGCACCCCCAGGCUGAUCCCGCUGCCUGGGGCAGCUGGUGUGAAGUCAGCUCCAAACGAUGGUGUGUAGGCACGCAGCUGAGACCUGGGGAGGAGAUUAGAGCUGGAAAAAGCUGCCUGCAGCUCAGGAUCUCUGCUGGUCAGAGUGACUCUGAGAUGAGUGCAGGUCUCUUUUCCCAGCCCGGCAGUCGAAGAAGGAGUCAGGAUUCUUCUGUUCUCGCUCUCAAGGUUUUUUAUUGUUUCUUAUCUAUGAUAUUCUUUCUCCUACCUGCCAAGGUCUGUCUGGCAGGUUGGGUUGAGGCACACUGGCCACCCCCAGGGCAGUGUUAUCUUUGUAUACUAAAAACUAGGUGUACAACAUUUACAAUUACUUCCCAACACCUAUCAUCUGUGUUAGACGGUGAGCUUCUACUCUAAACCAAUCCAAAAGUGCCACCAUCACCCAGAAGAUGGAGGCCAAGAAGAAGAAGGAGAAAGGCUGGACAUGCCCAGAUUCCUCCAUCUUGCCCCCUGAACCCCCAUUCUAAAAACCCCAAAAAUCUAUUUUUCACCCUCUGACCAACUAACUAUUAUUCUACUUAAACACUCUUGAGUCAUAAUUCUUCAUAUAAAGGUUGGCAAUUGUUUUUUCCAUGGGUCAAGAUCAAAGGCACAGGGGUCUUGAGCUCUGUGCCAAGGUCUCUGAGCCCUUUGGUCUUGAGUCCUCCAGGGCAGCCAGAGGAAUUUCUUGGGUUCCAACACCUGCACUGCCAGACCCAAGGGACUUUGCUGACCUGAACUCUGUCUUUAGGUUUUACUCCAGAGGGCUUCCCCAGAGGGUUUUCCUGUCAAGGAAGAGGGAUGUGUACACCAAGUUGUGAGAAACAACUGCUCACUUUGAAACUUUAAAGAGGUUUAUUAAACCUUGACAAAAAUACAGCAAAGGACUACAUGAGGAAAAAGCUGCAGUGCUGGGAACUGCCCCUCGUGCACACCACAUGGCCAGUUCACCUUCCAGAUGGAUGCUCAGGCUUUUAUACCCCUGGGGUUGCAUCAGCCAGCCCUGGCCCCUCCCAAAGUCUGUCAGUCAGCUCUUCUGUGCCAUUUAUCAGUGGAAACUGCUUUCUUGUCACUGCAUUGGAGGUCAGGUGUUGCCAUGCUGCUCCCCCUAAGCACCAAGCUUUUCCAUUCCCACCUGCCCCAGACCCAAGGCACAGCCAGCCCGAUGCCACAGGGCAAGCACGCAGUGACAAACCCUCUCAGAGUGCACCAAGUGACCUGGACCCACCAAGAGCAGUGCUGAUUCAAGUUUCUUCCACUCCUGUUGGAAAUGUGGGGUCAGAAGAUGAAAAUAAGCACUGAGGCCACUGCCAGCAGCCCAAAGGCCAGAGACUGCUUCCUACAGACACAGAGUCCCGUUGUGUGUGACACCAGAGGAUGGCGAGGAGGGGAAGAUUCACACCUGAAGGAAGGUGGUCUGUUGGGAGCUAGCUGAGAACUUCAGGUCAGGUGCAACCCUUGGCUCUAAAGGUCACAGCAGACAUGCUCUUGCCAAGGGGUCACUGCUGCCUGUGCACAGCCACCAGAACCUUCUGACUGAAUCAUCCUGACAUUGAAUUGUUCCUUUUGGAGCUCCUCUCCACCAUCCCACACCCAAGGUGUUAUUCACCCAAAAGGUGUUUUUAGCAUUCAUGAAUCUUCUGAAAAUUUCACUUUCUGGAGUAAACCUCUCCCUCAACAGGACCAGCACUGGUGUAAUUUUCUACCUUCUGACACCUUUCCCCUCAUUCCAUUUUUGUCCAGCUCAAUACAACAAAGCAACGGUUUUGAGUGUUUAAGGGAUUUUUUCCCCUCCAAUCAAUGGAGAAUUUUUCUAUUUUGUUGUUGGUAUGUACAUUUGGCCCGAAUCCUUCCUAGCAGCCUACAUCCCUCCUUGGCUCCAGUCUUUAGCAAGGACACACAUUGGAUCUGCUACCUGGACCAAGAUUUCCAUUGCCUGGGCCUUUGGCUCUCCUUGGAGUUGCUCCAGAGAAGGCAAUUCCUGCUGCUGCCAUUCAGCUGUGAGCCCUGGGUCAUGGUGCAGAUGGGGCCACUGCACAUCCCAGGAGCUCUGCUGGCACCACAGGCUGACAGAGAUGACCUGGAGGAGCAGGAGCUGAGGGACAGCCUGGCCAGGACUCAGCUCUGCAAACCAGAACCGACCUGGCUUUGGCCAUGAGCAGAUGGAAAGGGCUGGAAAAAAAAGCUUCUACACAAACAUUGUGAAAGGCAGCAGCCAACUGAUGGGGGAAACGUUCCAGUGCCAUGGCAAGGAGUUACCCACUGAAUCCUUGAUACCUCCAGAGAGGCUGAGCGAGGUGGCUGUGCUCUGGACAAGGCUUCACGGAGAGUGCCUUGCUGCAAGGAUACAGGAAAAGUGAGGGCUUGUUUUGCAAACAGAGCUGGGAAAGGUGAGAGGACAACAUCCUCCUUGUGCAGCGGGAAGGAGAGAUGUGAACUGGCUCGGCUGUCACAUCAGGGCUAACUGGCACGUGAUGGUAAUAAAGUGAUUUUCACAUCAUAUCAUACCCUACCGCAAAUAUAUCUUACAAGCACUGCUGGCUCUUGGGUUUGGCAGCCAUCUGUCCUUCUGCCUUGCCCUGAAAACACAAGAAUUUCCCACAUGGACUCACUCUCUCAGAGGUGAAACUUGUCUUUUUCACAGACUUUUUCAGGAGCUGCACGGCUGACUGGCACCCAAAGUGAUCCCGCUGCUGGUGCCCACCUGAGUGCCCAUGGGAGGGGAUGGGGCUGUGACAGCACUGGGAAGAGGUGGGAAUGGUGGGGGAAGCACCACAGUCACAGGAGCAGGGCUGGCAGAGGUGUCAGGAGCUGGCCAGCACUCAGACCAUAAAUGAUGCAGAAAGCAAUGUCCAAACUUGCAGGAGCAGCCUGAACCCUGAGUCUGUGGGUCCCCAUCUCCUGUGGAGCCUGCGUGGAGAUCAUACACCUGAAAUCUCCAAACCCUGCAUCUCGCUCUCCCAGGGCUUCACUGACCUUGCCCAGAAAAUGUUUCUUUUUAAAAAUACCUGAAUGGAGAUUCUGUGGUGGUCUUCAGUCAAUUCUCUCCACGUUUUGCCGCCCUGACUCCUCCUCUCUAGCCUGAGUCUUGCUUUCUCCUUCACCUCUAUCCUCCACAGGCCCUGAAAACACAUCACCCUCUCUCUUUACAGCUGUGCUUUAUAUAUUCAAAGACGAUUAUCACAUCCUCUCCCCCACACUUCUCUCCCAUCCAGACCAAACAAGUACAGUUCAUUCUCUGGAGCGUGUAACAACAAGAAGUUUGUUUGAUGAAUAAUCAAUUUGUUUAGCGCAGGGGCUCGAAUCACUCAAGUUAUGCCAAAGAUAACAAACCUUCAGCAAAUUUCUCUUCAAAUCUUAAAUUUUAUCAACUGUUUUGACAGCUAGAAUAUAAUUUUUACACAAAGGGUUAGAAUAAAAGCAAUUGCUUUCUAGUUUUUCUGUAUAAAGAUUUGAAUUAUGACUUUCACAUUAGGCAAUGCAAUUAAAUGCAUUCUAGAACUGUCAUGAAAUAUUAAACUUGGGGUUAUAAAAAGUAUUCUUUUAAUGAUUUGUAGUAUCUUUUAAAAGGAAUUAGCUGCAACAGUAUUUCUUAAACUAUAUAAAAAUAUAUAUCAGUAAUUGUUCAUUUCCACUUGUUUUACUGUUCAGCUCCAGUUGUGCCAGCCAAAAUGCUAAGUUUAUAAUCUUCAGGAUAUUUCUGGUAGUAAUGAAUUUUAUUUUAUUUUAUUUUACCAACUUUUUUUAUGGCACUUUUAAUUAGCCAGGGUUUAAUCCUGUUUAGGUUUUCUUUUACACAAAUAUUUUGAGAUGAGGAAUUAUUACACAAUAUGUUUGUCUAUAUGGAAAAUUUAUCUUAAAUGCAGUGAAGAAAGAAAGAACCAAAAAACGUCAGUAGGAAUUUUUUUUUAAAAAACAAACAUUUAUAUUGCAUGCUGAGCUUCCUUCCAGUUCAGAUUUUAGUUUUUGAAAGCCAAACUUAUCUUAAGGUAAAAGCUCAAAAGUUGAAACAUGAAAACACAGGGUGGGGGCCUGAAAAGCCGAGAAGUUUUGAGGCUCAGUUUCAAAGCAAACACAUCACCGUAAUGAGAAGUGUCCUGCAAAAACAGCCAGCUCUGCACGGGAUGCAGAGAGGAGCAGGUUCAGCCCUGCAGUGCUGUGGAGUCCCUGUGGGACCAUCUCCCCCCAGUUUGGCUGCUGACAGCCCAGAGUACCCUUGGGAAGUUUGCCUCUUCCCCAGAAAAUGUGUACAGACCCACAAAUCAAAAGAUGUUGAAAACCUUUGGUUUAUCUUGUUUAAAAAACAGGGAGUUUUAUGUGACUUUUUUUUCACCCAGUAGCUCUUCAGAUAAGUGGAUUUUGGUUUUCCUCUAUGAAAUUCUUACAAACCAAAAGAUUGCCUUGGUCCCAGAAAUGACAGUGCUGACUUAAUCCCACUUCCCAGGCAGUUAAGGGAACAGAAACUGAGGAGAAGAAAUAAUGCUGUACUUUUUAAUUCACUCUUCUGCUAAGAAAUUAAAUUGCUCAUCUCAGGCUUUGAAGCCUGAGACGGUCCAGCAGAAAAUCAACAAAAUAAAUUUUCAUGGAUCUCAAAAGUGAUUUUGAAGGACAAAUUAAAUCCUGACUUGCUCCUUACUCACAUGGUGCCAUAGCUUAUCUGGACAUGGUGGAUCUUCCUAAGCCAGCCUGUGUUAUGAUCUGGGAAAGGAUGGAGUAGUAUUGACAUGGAUAAAGUUUGGUAGAUUUUGUUGUUGUUGUUGUUGUUAGAAGAAGGGCCAAAUUGAUUUAGGAAUCUUUGUCUCUGUUAUUUUCAGGAUGUUUUUCUCCCUAGGUCUCUUGAAUUAUAUGCCAGAACCCUUGGAAGCUCAUGAUAGGGUCUGAAAUGCAAGCAGAAAGGAAACCCUCCUUCCCUAUACAAAACUUUCCCUGUCUCACAUCAGGGCUCAGUCCUUUCCUGGGAAAAUGUUGCUUUGUGUGUUUCUGUGGCAGCAUGCAGAGAAGUGCAAGAAUGAACUUUUAAAUGUGCAUCUAACUCAGGGAGCCCUUUGACAGAAGAUCUGAUUUGGCUCCUAAAAACCCCUCAAGUUUUCAGUAUGAAACCGAUGCAAAUUGAUGUUAUGGCCUGGUACAAAUUGCUCCUGUCCUGGGUUGAAAUGUCAUCUGAGUUCUGACCCUGAGCUCUGACCUGGGCAGCCCAAUUUGCCAGCCCAUGAUGACAUUUCCACAUUGAUUUGGGAACUGCACAAGAAAAGAUGUUUUUGUGAUCUGUUGGUGCUGGCUGCUUCUACUCACCAGACUCCAGGGCAAUUAGGCCAAGAGAAAACGGAUGCAGCAGUCACGGAGGUCUCCAGCUCUGCUCGUGAGAGAGCAGCUCUUGAAGCACAAAAGGGUUCAGGACUCAAAUCCAGCCCCAGAUGUAAGAGGAAGGUUUGUGGGGAUAUCUAACCUGGGGAAAAGGUUUCUAUUUUCUCCUCAUCUUGCCUCCUCCAGCCUGCACUGGAGCAGCCUUUGCCUGGAAAACACUUCAUUCCUAGGUGGCAAACCUUCAGUGCCCUGUUCCGCUCACAGGACUUUAAUCAGCCAGAGAACAUGGCCAGCCUCUGUUUUCUGAGCCUGCUGUUGGUAAAUGCUCUGUGAAAUGACUUCACAAUUGUUCCUGGAGCAAGCUGGCCCAAUGGCUGGCAAUUAAACCUCAGACUGAUGGAAACUGUUAGCAGGGAUUGCUGCCUUGCCCAUAGCGUCAGAGUUAACAACUCCAAGCUCUUUUUACUUUUUCUAUAAAACACGUGGGAGCUUUGUGCCUGGAAUAUCUGCAGCAAUAAAGUGGAUAUGGUGCUUGGCUUUUGUUUGUAGUGCUAAAAGUUGCAAGAAGAAAGAACAACUGAGGUUCAAGGUGAGAUCUGGUGUUUGCACUUGGUGAAGCACAUUCAGUCGGUAUCUCUGGGUUUGGUACAGCCCAUUGCUGUGAUUUAGACACCAGAUUUAGACUCAUGAUUCUUAUAUAGUCAUCUCAAAGGGAAUUAGGUGCCUACACCUUGCUGUAAGCCAACUCUUGCAGGGCUGGCC